rnacentral:rRNA from 1 species
UACGUAGGUGGCAAGCGUUAUCCGGAUUCAUUGGGCGUAAAGGGAACGCGGGCGGUCUUUUAAGUCUGAUGUGAAAGCCUUCGGCUUAACCGGAGUAGUGCAUUGGAAACUGGGAGACUUGAGUGCAGAAGAGGAGAGUGGAACUCCAUGUGUAGCGGUGAAAUGCGUAGAUAUAUGGAAGAACACCAGUGGCGAAAGCGGCUCUCUGGUCUGUAACUGACGCUGAGGUUCGAAAGCGUGGGUAGCAAACAGG